rnacentral:rRNA from 1 species
AUUGAACGCUGGCGGCAGGCUUAACACAUGCAAGUCGAGCGAGCGGCGGACGGGUGAGUAAUGUCUGGGAAACUGCCUGAUGGAGGGGGAUAACUACUGGAAACGGUAGCUAAUACCGCAUACCAUCAGAUGUGCCCAGAUGGGAUUAGCUAGUAGGUGGGGUAAUGGCUCACCUAGGCGACGGUCCAUAGCUGGUCUGAGAGGAUGACCGGCCACACUGGAACUGAGACACGGUCCAGACUCCUACGGGAGGCAGCAGUGGGGAAUAUUGGACAAUGGGCGCAAGCCUGAACCAGCCAUGCCGCGUGUGUGAAGAAGGCCUUCGGGUCGUAAAGCACUGGUAGAGAGGAGGCGGUACUCGAAGAAGAAGCACCGGCUAACUCCGUGCCAGCAGCCGCGGUAAUAC